GCCUCCGUAGCUUAGUAGCCAGAGCGGCUGACUUGUAAUCAGCAGGUCGAGGGUGCAACUCCCUCCGGAGGCU
rnacentral:tRNA from 1 species